rnacentral:rRNA from 2 species
UACAGGGGGCUCGAGCGUUAGUCGGAAUCACUGGGCUUAAAGGGUGCGUAGGCGGCUCGUCAAGUGUUUUGUGAAAUCCCACAGCUCAACUGUGGAACAGCAGGGCAAACUGACGAGCUUGAGGCAGGUAGGGGCCGGAAGAACAGUAGGUGGAGCGGUGAAAUGCGUAGAUAUCUACUGGAAUGCCGAUGGGGAAGCCGUCCGGCUGGGCCUGUCCUGACGCUGAGGCACGAAAGCGUGGGGAGCAAACAGG